GAUGAACCGGGCAAGCUCGGGACGGUCGCCCGCCUGCAAGCCUCUGGGGCCUCACAUUAGAAGUUUCUCUGGGUCUCCCAUGAUGCCUAGCGUAAAGCUGUUGCAGAUUCAAUCUGUUGGCUGAAUAAAGAAGCUUUGUUCUUUUGGACAUUCCAGCACAAGAAUGUUCAGAAAUGGUUCUCAGUUAAAAGACUUUUUUGCCCAGGAAAGGGCAAACCCUACCACCACCUGGAAGGGUAGCAGGAGCCAGGUGUCUGCAAAGACAAAGACUCCCGUUUGCUCCUCAUUGGGAAAUGCAGGUGGACGGGGCCGUCCUGGGUUUCUCAGUGAGUGUUGAUAACUGCCCCUGGCAUCACGUCUGCAUCCACCGACCUCCACCUCUGGUUGUACCACCAAAACAUUGGCUCCGUUUUUCACUUGGAGACCUCAUAAUACCUGGUGGGAGAGCAAGAUCCUGACACCGUUUUCACUAAGGUGCCCUUCUCAGACCUGCUGCCUGCCCGAGGACUCAAGCUUCCUAUGAUGUUGAUAUCAAUCAUCUACGUGGGGAUGAAUAUUUACCUCGUUGGAAGCUGAUAUCCUCAACUCUUCUCAUAAAACAGGAAAAAGCCUUUCAGAAGGGUUGUCCAGAAAGCCAAGAAAAAGCAUCAGCGAUUUGCUGCUCAGGCCUCUGAAACCUUUGCGGUUGGAUGUGACCAUAUUCCCACAUUCGCGAUGCCCGGAUGUCCACAUUCGCGAUGCCCGGAUGUCCACAUUCGCGAUGCCCGGAUGUUCUGCCACAUUCGCGAUGCCCGGAUGUUCUGCGUGCGUGGGUAGGAUCACUCCACGACUCAUCUGGGUCCUCUGGAAGCCAUUUCAACCACAGAGCCACAUAUUUUGGGGGAUGUUAAAAAUUCUCAACUGGAAAUGAAUUUUUUAUAUCACAUUAAAAAAAAUUGUGACAAACAUAUAUAACAAAAUCGACGGAUUUAACUAUUUCUAAGUGUACAGUUCACUGGCAUUAAGUACAUUUACGUUAUCGUGCAACUAUCACCCCCAUCUAUCUCCAAAUUUUUUUCGUCUUCCCAAACUAAACCCCUGCAUGCGUUGAAUACUAGCUCCUUUCGCCGCCCGCCCCAGCUCCUGGCAACCCCUGUUCUACUUUUGCUCUGUGAAUCUGAUCACUCUAGGUGCCUCUUAUAAGUGGAACCAUAUGGUAUUUGUCCUUUUGUGUCUGGCUUGUGUCACUGAGCAUGAUGUCCUCUAGGUUCCUCCCUGUUGCAGCAUGGGACAGAAUUUCCUUCCUUUUUUGAGGCUGAAUAAUGUUCUACCAUACGGAAGAAGGUACAGACCACCUUUCAUUUAUCUGCUCAUCCCAAAAUUGUCUAAGGUGAUGGACAUUUGGGUUGUUUCCACCUGGAAGUAGCUUUUGAAAUGUUUUAGCUGAGAGCAAAUAUUGGUCGUUGACUCCUAGAGACAACUGUUUUACGUUUGCCUGUGGGACCGUCAUGUGCAUUCUGAUAGCAUUGCUGUUUUAUAGCUCUAGGGCCAAAUGCUGCAUAUAGGAUAGUAGUCGGGUUACUCAUGUCUAAGCAUCAAAUCUAGACCUAAACCAAGUCAGGUGUAAAAUAUGCUAUUGGCAUCGAUUCUGCCAUUUUAAUACACUUGAUUUCCAAAUAUAUAACAUAAUAGUUUCAGCCUAUAGUAACCCACCCUCAGCCAAUUCCUAGGACGUAAAGUUUAAGGCAAAACUAUGAUUAAGUUUAAGUUUAAGGAAAAACUAUGAUUUUGCCUUAAAAGAUUAAGGCAAAACUAUGAUCAUUAUGUAGGAUCAUGUAACCUUGAAGUUUGCGUGGUUUUAAUGUAGACCUUGAUGCCAUGACACCAUUUGGCCACAGUCACAGCACAAGGAGAACUCACUUCGGUCAAGAGCAAAUUUGGCAAGUUUGUUCUAACACAACAGAGGAUGUGAAGGGGUCAGGUAAUUAAACCCAGGGCUGACGCAGACAGGCAGGACAUGUCAGAGGUAGCAAACUGUCAACAUUUUUGCAGAGGUGGGGAAAGGAAACAAUUUCUAGCAAAUUACUCUUCCUGUCAAAAGGAGCAAGCUUAGACAUUCACAGUCUUCUUUUAGGAAUUUUGGGAAACACAGAGAUUGCAGGCGGAGGUAUUUAGAGGGAGAGGGACAGAAAGCCACAGUCCUGUAGGAGAAAAACCCAGUCCUGGGGUGAUACAUUAUUGGCAACUGGGCAUUGGACAGAGAGCACUGAAAGAAAAGCAAUCACAGUCGAUGCAGGCUCUUUGAAAUCUGAGGCCAAGAGACAGAUAUUUUCUGAAAUUAAUAAUAAUGACACUGGUAUCAGGAAGUAACCAUUCCGGCACAGAAUGGCAUGGAACAAGAACAGCCUGAGACACAGAGAUCAGCAGAGCCUGGAUAAUGUGAACAGAAAAUAAGUUCCUGCAGGACCAGACGAAGGCAUCUGACAAAGGGUUUGCACGAGUCCCUUCGUGAGAGGAGAUUGGAAAUUAAUAUCAGAACCCUGCUAUAUAUUUCCUAUUGCUCUUGUUUGUAGAAUUAUGUUUAACUGUAUAAUAAAGUAUAUGUAGUCAUCAUUCCAUGGUGCAGAGUCAUGGAUUUGCAACCAGUGUUUCUGUUGUUUUCAUAAUGCCCUGAGUCAGAGAGGCUCUCAAGGGUUCUCAUAGACUGAUCUAUGCACCAGCUGGAGCCUUCACUUUUUUUUUUUUUUUGAGACAGAGUCUCACUUUGUUGCCCAGGCUAAAGUGAGUGCCGUGCGUCAGCCUAGCUCACCGACCUCAAUACCCU
rnacentral:lncRNA from 1 species